ACGAACGCUGGCGGCGUGCUUAACACAUGCAAGUCGAACGGAAAGGCCCUGCUUUUGUGGGGUGCUCGAGUGGCGAACGGGUGAGUAACACGUGAGUAACCUGCCCUUGACUUUGGGAUAACUUCAGGAAACUGGGGCUAAUACCGGAUAGGAGCUCCUGCUGCAUGGUGGGGGUUGGAAAGUUUCGGCGGUUGGGGAUGGACUCGCGGCUUAUCAGCUUGUUGGUGGGGUAGUGGCUUACCAAGGCUUUGACGGGUAGCCGGCCUGAGAGGGUGACCGGCCACAUUGGGACUGAGAUACGGCCCAGACUCCUACGGGAGGCAGCAGUGGGGAAUAUUGCACAAUGGGCGGAAGCCUGAUGCAGCAACGCCGCGUGCGGGAUGACGGCCUUCGGGUUGUAAACCGCUUUCGCCUGUGACGAAGCGUGAGUGACGGUAAUGGGUAAAGAAACACCGGCUAACUACGUG
rnacentral:rRNA from 1 species